CCGAGUUUACAACUCCCAAACCCCUGUGAACAUACCUAUAUGUUGCCUCGGCGGGAGGCCCCGGGGGGUGGCUUCGGCCGCCCUCCCGGAUCCCAUGGCUGCCCGCCGGAGGACCCCAAACCUCUGUUUUAGAAUUUGAAUUCUUCUGAGUACCUAGGCGAAAGCCGAAAAUAAAUCA
rnacentral:misc_RNA from 1 species